rnacentral:rRNA from 1 species
GCCCUUCGGGGUAAGUACAGCGGCGGACGGGUGAGCAACACGUGAGAAUCUGCCCUUUAGUGAAGAAUACUCCCGAGAAAUCGGGCAUAAUACUGCAUAAGUCCCUGCGGGGAGAAAGAUGGCUUUAUGCUGUCGCUGAAGGAUGAGCUCGCGUACUAUUAGCUAGUUGGUGGGGUAAUGGCCUACCAAGGCGAUGAUGGUUAACCGGCCUGAGAGGGUGUUCGGUCACACUGGAACUGAGAUACGGUCCAGACUCCUACGGGAGGCAGCAGUGAGGAAUAUUGCGCAAUGGGCGAAAGCCUGACGCAGCGACGCCGCGUGGAGGAUGAAGGUCUUUGGAUUGUAAACUUCUGUUAAGUGGGACGAAAAAGUUGCUUCUAAUACAAGCAAAAAAUGACGGUACCACUAAAGAAAGCACCGGCUAACUUCGUGCCAGCAGCCGCGGUAAUACGAAGGGUGCAAGCGUUAUUCGGAUUUAUUGGGUGUAAAGGGUGUGUAGACGGUAUGUUAAGUCCGCUGUUAAAUUUCCCGGCCUAACUGGGAGCCAGCGGUGGAUACUGACGUGCUAGAGGAUGGAAGAGAGAAGUGGAAUUCCCGGAGUAGCGGUAAAAUGCGUAGAUCUCGGGAGGAACACCAAUGGCGAAGGCAGCUUCUUGGUCCAUAUCUGACGUUGAGACACGAAAGCGUGGGGAGCAAACAGGAUUAGAUACCCUGGUAGUCCACGCCGUAAACGAUAAUCACUAGAUGUUGGUUUGACUUAGUCGGAUCAGUAUCGUAGCUAACGCGUUAAGUGAUUCACCUGGGGAUUACGGUCGCAAGACUAAAACUC